AUCCAGCUGACGAGUCCCAGAUAGAACGAAACUCUCAUCCUGGAU
rfam:Schistosoma mattheei strain Denwood, Zambia genome assembly, scaffold: SMTD_scaffold0019968